CGGGAGCUUGUUCGGAGAACAGAGUGAGGAAAUUGCAAGUCAGGAGCCCGCCUGAAGAAUAGGGUGAUGAAAUUGACAGUCGGGAGCUCGCCCGGAGAACAGAGAGAGGAAAUUGCCAGUCAGGAUCCCUCCUAAAGAAUAGAGUGCUGAAAUUUAAAGUAGGGAGCUCGCCCGGAGAACAAAAUGAGGAAAUUGCAAGUCGGGAGCCCGCCCAAAGAAUAGGGUGAUGAAAUUGAAAGUCGGGAGCUCGCUUGGAGAACAGAGUGAGGAAAUUGCAAGUCAAGAGCCCGC
rnacentral:lncRNA from 1 species